rnacentral:tRNA from 1 species
GGGGUUGUGGCUCAGUGGUAGAGCACUUGCCUAGCAAGUGCAGGGCCCUGGGUUCAAUCCCCAGCACCA